rnacentral:rRNA from 1 species
CGCGUAGGCGGGACGUCAAGUCAGCGGUAAAAGACUGCAGCUAAACUGUAGCACGCCGUUGAAACUGUCGACCUGGAGACGAGACGAGGGAGGCGGAACAAGUGAAGUAGCGGUGAAAUGCAUAGAUAUCACUUGGAACCCCGAUAGCGAAGGCAGCUUCCCAGGCUCGAUCUGACGCUGAUGCGCGAGAGCGUGGGUAGCGAACAGGAUUAGAUACCCUGGUAGUCCAUGCCGUAAACGAUGCUCACUGGAUCUUGGCGAUACACGGCCAGGGUUCAAGCGAAAGUAUUAAGUGAGCCACCUGGGGAGUACGUCGGCAACGAUGAAACUCAAAGGAAUUGACGGGGGCCCGCACAAGCGGAGGAACAUGUGGUUUAAUUCGAUGAUACGCGAGGAACCUUACCCGGGUUUAAAUGUAGAUUGCAUGAGGUGGAAACACUUCUUCCCUUCGGGGCUAUUUACAAGGUGCUGCAUGGUUGUCGUCAGCUCGUGCCGUGAGGUGUCGGGUUAAGUCCCAUAACGAGCGCAACCCCUAUCGCCAGUUGCCAUCGGUUCAAGCCGGGCACUCUGUCGAGACUGCCACCGUAAGGUGCGAGGAAGGCGGGGAUGACGUCAAAUCAGCACGGCCCUUACACCCGGGGCGACACACGUGUUACAAUGGCCGGUACAGAGGGCAGCCACGGGGUGACCCGGAGCGAAUCUCUAAAGCCGGUCGUAGUUCGGACUGGAGUCUGCAACCCGACUCCACGAAGUUGGAUUCGCUAGUAAUCGCGCAUCAGCCAUGGCGCG